rnacentral:rRNA from 1 species
GACGAACGCUGGCGGCGUGCCUAAUACAUGCAAGUAGAACGCAGUUGCGAACGGGUGAGUAACGCGUAGGUAACUGCCUCAUAGCGGGGGCUAACUAUUGGAAACGAUAGCUAAUACCGCAUACUGUGAGAUGGACCUGCGUUGUAUUAGCUUGUUGGUGAGGUAAAGGCUCACCAAGGCGCAGAUACAUAGCCUACCUGAGAGGGUGAGCGGCCACACCGGGACUGGGAAAAGGCCCAGGCGCCUAAGGGAGGGAGCAGUAGGGAAACUUCGGCAAUGGGCGGAAGUCUGACCGAGCAACUCCGCGUGAGUGAAGAAGGGUUUCGGGUCGUAAAGGUCUGUUGUUAGAGGAGCGUUACCUAACCAGAAAGGGCCGGCUAACUACGUGCCAGCAGCCGCGGUAAUUC